rnacentral:lncRNA from 12 species
AGCAAUUCUAUUUUCUGUUAGCUGACUGAGCAAGAGGGUCUGCACAUCUCUCCUCCAAGCUCUCCCCACUUCCAUGCAAGGAGCACAGCAGUGUCCUCUCCAUUUCAGCAAAGAAAGCAUUCCAGUAGCUCUUGGCUGGCUUGAAUGGAAGUGAAUAAUUGCCCCUUGAACAGUCUCAAGGAAAAGGCCUGUGAAAGGUAAGCUGAUGAGGUGUUUUGAGAGUGGCUCGGUGGCAGUGAUGUACCCCAGUGAACAGAAUCUGUAGAAGGCCCUGGCUCCCUGCAGGGAUUUUGAUAAUCAGGCUGUUCUUUG